AUGGUUCCCUGCUGUUUCUGUGUGGCCAUGCUGGCCCCUCUGGUUUUAGCCCUGGAACAGUCUCCAGACAUGGUGAUCAAAGAAGGCCAGUCCGUGAAUCUGGAAUGCUCUGAGAAAAAAUCCUCCAGCCCAGCUAUGUACUGGUUCAUGCUGCCUUCAGAGAAGAAUUCCAGUCUGACUCUACUGGCAUCUGCACUACAGGGUGGUAAUGCAGUGGUGGAGAAGGGUUUUGAGAGCCAUUUCAAGAGCAGCAAGAUAAAAGGAGACAGUAUCACCCUCUCAAUAGAACAUGCCUUUCUCAAUGACUCUGGCACAUACUACUGUGCUGAGGGACAGGCUGGGGGCAGACCUGCUGGUGAGCAGCUCUUCAGAGAAGGACCUGGGGGUCCUGGUGGACAAGAAGCUCCCCAUGAGCCAGCAAUGUGUCCUGGUGGCCAAGAAGCCAGAGGUGUCCUGGGAUGAGCGUUAGGAAGGGCAUUGCCAGCAGGGCAAGGGAGGUGGAUCCAGGUUCUUCACUGUGA